rnacentral:rRNA from 1 species
UACGAAGGGGGCUAGCGUUGCUCGGAAUUACUGGGCGUAAAGCGCACGUAGGCGGCUUUCUAAGUCGGGGGUGAAAUCCUGGAGCUCAACUCCAGAACUGCCAUUGAAACUGUUUAGCUUGAGGAUGAGAGAGGUGAGUGGAAUUCCCAGUGUAGAGGUGAAAUUCGUAGAUAUUGGGAAGAACACCGGUGGCGAAGGCGGCUCACUGGCUCAUUACUGACGCUCAGGCGCGAUAGCGUGGGGAUCAAACAGG